UUUAACUCUGCCCUUAACUAUUUAAUUUGUGCAUGCAUGGUAAUUUUAGGCAUCAAAAGUCAUCAUUUCAUGCGAAUUAAGACAAUGACAUUUCCCAAAAUUCCGUCCAAAAAAGGACCACAUUAUGUACAAAAUAAAUAGUCAAGGGACAACUUAAAUACAAAAUAUUUGUUAAAGAUCAAAUAAAAUAAGAGCUAGUAGUAUAGGAACUUCAUAAUGGAUUUAGCCUGUUUUAAUUUUUGUAUGCUAAUGAUUUACAUUCAGGAGGGAGCUUCAGGAAGAGCUAGACAUUACUCUUCCAAAAGAUGCAUUUGAAUUGUUUUUUGUAUAUCUUCAACAGUGUGUCACAAAUGAUGGCAAUUUUAUCAAUAAUGAGUACGAUGAUGUGUACCUCGUAACAACUGUACAUCCAAUUCCUUUGGAGGCUUUUACUCUUCAAGUGAGUUAUUUAAUGCUUAUAUUAUCUAAUGGAAUUGGUAAUAUUCGUGAACCAAACCAAAGAUGUACUGUGCUUGCCGCCAUAGCAAACUUUUACUUGUUAAUUUUUUGGCAAGGGAACAUGUUUUACCAGUCUAUGUUGUCUUGAUAUUUUAUCAAAGAUAAAUAGCAGGUACAUGCUAUGAACUUCUCACAGCAUUGUAACAUCCAAAGGUAUAAAGAGAACACCACACGCAGAGCUCGACACUACAGAAGCAGCUAAAUCGAUAUGCUCCUGUGUGCGGAGGUUGUCAACUUUAAUCUGCAUUAAUCUCUCUGAUAUUUUAAUUGCUACAAUAUAUAUUUGACUUAUCACCAUAAAGCUUUAUACUCACUCAGAUAUUCUGUGACAUUCUGGUAUAUAAUUAUGUGCCCCAUUUAGUUAUUGAACCUAUUAUAACUUGAUUUGAAAUUCUGUAAUUGGCAAGACUUGUUGAGUAUAUGUUGACAUGAACAGUUGUAGGCUCAGGGUUAAGACUUUUGUGAGGUGCAAAUUCUGGUGCUUACUGUCUGAAACAGUAUGGCUAUCAAAAUUAUGUCAAAUGGUCCAAGAAGAUGUUUAGACCGAAGUUGAAUAACUGCCGAUUAAUUCUGUUUCAAACUGUUUACCAUUCUAAAUUAUCUGUUUGUCUGUAUAACUGUUUUUGUGUGUCUGUCCGAGGACUGCAGGUUUGGUGGAGUCUAUGUAUGUGUCUUUUCUUGCCGGAUGCUUUCGGUCAGUUCGAUUUGGUUUAGAAGAAGCUCAUGGGAAAGGACGAGCAUUCAUCUUGCACCCUGAUGGAACUUUCUCCGUUGAUUCUGCUAAGCUUGAAGGGGCGGUUGAAGUCGGAAAAUUCUAACUAUACGGGCAAAAGGAUUAGAGGCUCUUCAGGUAUGAGUCUAAAAUUAUGCUACGCAAACUGGAUUACCUAUAAAAAUUCCCCUACAGUGUGUUUAAUCAUCUAAUCUAUCUUCCUGAUACAAACUGCAUCGCCGAGGACUUCGUUUUCUCAAACCAUGCAGACAGGGGAACUUCAAAUGUCUUCAGAAAUCAACAUAGUAAUUACCUUACAUCAUCUAGUAUUGUGUAGAAUACUGUUUUAGGCAUGCUUAAAGAAACUUUCUCAGUAAGAGCAGUAGAAUAUCAGUAGGAAUGUGCAUAUCCAGCAAGUCUUAUGUCCAACAGGAUGGAUGUUUUACAAAGAUGGAGAAGAAGGAAACAACUAGACUCGUAUUUUCUUGCACUGCGAUAUUGCACUUGUAAAUAUUGUUAAUUCUGGUUUCUUUUUUCCGUAUUAUUUUGUCUAUUUCUGCGUUUUUCAGGUGCCCGUGGAUAUAGUUCCCACAUUUCCCAUAGCCAAUGAAAUAUUGGAGUAAAGGAAAUGUUACUGUGUUCGAGCAUGGAGUUCGGGCAGCUUUCUUGCCCAUGCAGAUCAAAUAAAUGGAAAUAAUUUGAAUUGUGGCUUCUCUAGCCAAUACUUGUUAAAUUACUGAGAAAAUUGGACAGUGGCAUAAUCAUUUCCAUUGUUUUCACUUUUCAUCAAUAAAUCCAGCACUCUUGACGGGUUUCUUUAAUGUUUACAGAA